rnacentral:tRNA from 1 species
GUGCAUCUGGUGUAGUGGUAUCAUAGUACCCUCCCAUGGUACAAACUAGUGUUCGGUUCCCUGGAUGCGUA